UACGUAGGGGCCGAGCGUUGUCCGGAGUUAUUGGGCGUAAAGCGCGCGCAGGCGGCCUCGCGCGCCCGACGUGAAAGCCCCCGGCUUAACCGGGGAGGGUCGUUGGGGACGGCGGGGCUUGAGGGCGGGAGAGGUCGGUGGAAUUCCCGGUGUAGUGGUGAAAUGCGUAGAUAUCGAGAGGAACACCUGCGGCGAAGGCGGGUAGCUGGGCCGACACUGACGCUGGAUGCGCGAAAGCCAGGGGAGCGAACGGG
rnacentral:rRNA from 1 species